rnacentral:rRNA from 1 species
GAUGAACGCUGGCGGCGUGCCUAAUACAUGCAAGUCGAGCGAACAGAUAAGGAGCUUGCUCCUUUGACGUUAGCGGCGGACGGGUGAGUAACACGUGGGUAACCUACCUAUAAGACUGGGAUAACUUCGGGAAACCGGAGCUAAUACCGGAUAACAUUUGGAACCGCAUGGUUCUAAAGUGAAAGAUGGUUUUGCUAUCACUUAUAGAUGGACCCGCGCCGUAUUAGCUAGUUGGUAAGGUAACGGCUUACCAAGGCAACGAUACGUAGCCGACCUGAGAGGGUGAUCGGCCACACUGGAACUGAGACACGGUCCAGACUCCUACGGGAGGCAGCAGUAGGGAAUCUUCCGCAAUGGGCGAAAGCCUGACGGAGCAACGCCGCGUGAGUGAUGAAGGGUUUCGGCUCGUAAAACUCUGUUAUUAGGGAAGAACAAAUGUGUAAGUAACGGUGCACGUCUUGACGGUACCUAAUCAGAAAGCCACGGCUAACUACGU